GCUGGGUGCGGUGGCACACGCCUGUAAUUUCAGCAGCUCUGGAGGCUGAGGCAGGAGGAUCAUGAGUUGGAGGCCAGUCUCAGCAAUUUAGUGAGGCCCUAAGCAACUCAGUGAGACCCUGUCUCUA
rnacentral:sRNA from 1 species